AGAAUCAACGCUGGCGGCGUGCCUAACACAUGCAAGUCGAACGCGAAAGUCCCGCAAGGGGCAAGUAGAGUGGCAAACGGGUGAGUAACACGUGGGUGACCUGCCUUCGAGCGGGGGAUAACGUCCCGAAAGGGACGCUAAUACCGCAUAACAUCCUGCCUUUGAAGAGGUGGAGAUCAAAGCUGGGGAUCGCAAGACCCGGCACUUGAAGAGGGGCCCGCGUCUGAUUAGCUAGUUGGUGGGGUAACGGCCUACCAAGGCAACGAUCAGUA
rnacentral:rRNA from 1 species